UUUGACUUUUAUGGGUGUACUCAUGCGCAUAUGGUAUGAGUUACCGUUGUAUCAAAAAAAAAAAAAGUUAGUUGGGUUGCAUUCCAUAUUGACAGAGUUGUCCAAGCGAGUGCACGAUUUGUUGCCAGAAAUUUUGAAGGUGGAAUCCUGGCUGCGGGUGCCAUCAUGUUGCAAACUAAGUUGGUGCUACGUAGAGAAAAAUAGAAUUUGUGUCCCCUUGCAAACAACUCCACCUACCCACGUUGAGAAAACUAAUUUUUAGGUUGUUAGAGUAACUUGGGACAAAUUGAAAGUGAUAUUGCAAGAUGUAUUCUACAAUGAUGUUGCUCCAAGGGUAAUGAAGACAAGCCUCCGUUCAAGAAAAAAUUAUUGCAUGCACUGCAUACAUGGCCAUGCUGGUCCAUG
rnacentral:lncRNA from 1 species